rfam:Camelus ferus unplaced genomic scaffold scaffold951, whole genome shotgun sequence.
GAGGGUAUAGCUCAAGCGGUAGGGCACAUGCUUAGCAUGCAUCAGGUCCUGGGUUCAAUCCCCAGUGCCUCCU